UGCUUCUCAAAGGCGAAUCCAAACAGCCAAAUUCCUGGUCUUUCGCCAGAUCUGAGCGAACAACUUUCUCCAAGAUUUAUCCCAUUUCUGUCAGGAUUUGGAGUUCUGCUGCCUGCUGCUUCCACCUUUUCGACACUAGAUGCCGCCAGUAGGAGUGUACCUGAGGCGACAGGUGUUGUGCAUCUACUCAUCAGCUGGGAAGCAUAUAGAGGAAGGUUGCCAACACCUUGGCGCUUGAGUGUUUUUGCCUCCGUGGUAAUUUCUGGCCAGUUCUGAAAUCUUUGCAUGAUUUUUACCAUGGAUAUCUUUUGAAGAAUUUGUUGUUGUGAACUCUAACUUGCUUUGUUACCUUUUCCAGGUGUGAAUCCUACCUGAUCUGUUCCAGUCCUCCAUAGUGGCUAAGUCUACUUCCUGAUCUAGUCUGUGCAUGGCAAGCUGAACUCCUUUCCUGACAUUUAUUCUCUCCCUGGCGGGUUAUUCCGGAAUCUCCAUAAGGAAGAUUAGACUCGUCGCUCCUGUUGUUCCUGAUCAAUCUUUCAA